AAUAAACUAUGGGUUUCCGUGUCCAAUGUUUAACCGUUCGUCUUAUUUGAAAAAAAUAUGAAAAAAAAUAAAAAUACAAGUCACGCAUAAAGUAUUAAUCAUGUUUUAUCAUCUAACAACAAUGGAAAUACUAAUUAUAAAAGAAUUUCAUAUAAGACGAACAGUUAAACGUUAGACACGGAAACUCAAGGUUUAUCUUUUU
rnacentral:pre_miRNA from 1 species